CUUUAUUAUUUCGCUCUGCACUCUGCUGGAAACGCGUCACAUCCGUCAGUACCCGUCCUACUUCUUUAUCGCCGCUUUUCUCCUCACCAGACAACUGGGAAGUUAAAUAUUGUAUAUUCAACACAUACGAGUUGAACGACGUUGGACUGUGUUAGAUGUUUGCUUUGUAUCGGGCGAUUUCAUGCAUUUUAGCCCUUCAUAACAAAAGGCUGGCAAGAAGACGGAGAAGAGGAAAAACAACCUGAGGAGGAGGAGGAUGAUUUGGUUUAACAAAACAAAAAGAACAAAGCCCACUGGACGGAACUCGACCAUCUCCAGCUUCUGUGGUGACAAUUUGAAAUGGUUUGAAAACUAAUAAACAAGCGAGUAACAUAAAUAAUUCACAUCGUAACCGUUUCCAUUUAUUAGCGGCGCGCGUGUGUGUUCUUCGCCCGCUGGAGGGCGAGGAUCAAAUGAGGGGAGGCGGCGCGAGGUUAGAAUCAGGCUUAAGGUGCGAACGCGAGCUUUGCGGAGCAUUUAUCUUCCCGUUAAAUCCCUGAAAGGUGACCGGAACCUGUCCCCGUGUGUGCGUCAGCGUGAGUCAGUGUGUGUUGCGCAGCUGAAGCUCAGUGGCCUCACUCGGCCCAUGAGCACGGACCGUCUGACGGUCGCUGUGACCCAGUUACAACCUGGCUCUCCUUUCCUCCCGUCCGUCCUAAUUGAAGAGACAGCUUAGCGCGGGAAGACACAACAGCUUUCAAAGGGCAUUUAGCCACUGUAGGUGGUGCAUUUUCACCUGAGGAGGCCUCAGUCACUCUGCUUAGUCAUCAGUAAACACAGUGAGACCGGACAGGAAAACUCUGCUACUACUAACAAGCUCCACUGCUUUAUUCUGCUGGUGAAAGGCGCUCAGGCAGAUGAAUGGCUUGCUAUUUUGGGACAUUAUCACCACAUUCAGCGAAGGUCCUCGGCUCCAUCCUUGGAUGCUGUGCAGCUGCCAACGGUGCUGCUGUUUUCAAACGCUCCCCAGCGCCUUCACACGACGACUCCUUCUCUCUUAAUCUGAAGCCGAUGUGAGUCGGCCCCCGGUUUGAUUAAUGUGAUCGAGGGGGGGGGGGGGGGGGGGCUCAAAGUGCUGCCAGACUCAGAGGUGUCACCCGACGCUGCUGAAUAAAUGAGCAGAACUAAUUGUUUGUUUACA
rnacentral:lncRNA from 1 species